AUACCGGAUAGGACCUCAAGACGCAUGUCUUCUGGUGGAAAGCUUUUGCGGUGUGGGAUGGGCCCGCGGCCUAUCAGCUUGUUGGUGGGGUGACGGCCUACCAAGGCGACGACGGGUAGCCGGCCUGAGAGGGUGUCCGGCCACACUGGGACUGAGAUACGGCCCAGACUCCUACGGGAGGCAGCAGUGGGGAAUAUUGCACAAUGGGCGCAAGCCUGAUGCAGCGACGCCGCGUGGGGGAUGACGGCCUUCGGGUUGUAAACCUCUUUCACCAUCGACGAAGGUCCGGGUUUUCUCGGAUUGACGGUAGGUGGAGAAGAAGCACCGGCCAACUACGUGCCAGCAGCCGCGGUAAUACGUAGGGUGCGAGCGUUGUCCGGAAUUACUGGGCGUAAAGAGCUCGUAGGUGGUUUGUCGCGUUGUUCGUGAAAUCUCACGGCUUAACUGUGAGCGUGCGGGCGAUACGGGCAGACUAGAGUACUGCAGGGGAGACUGGAAUUCCUGGUGUAGCGGUGGAAUGCGCAGAUAUCAGGAGGAACACCGGUGGCGAAGGCGGGUCUCUGGGCAGUAACUGACGCUGAGGAGCGAAAGCGUGGGGAGCGAACAGGAUUAGAUACCCUGGUAGUCCACGCCGUAAACGGUGGGUACUAGGUGUGGGUUUCCUUCCUUGGGAUCCGUGCCGUAGCUAACGCAUUAAGUACCCCGCCUGGGGAGUACGGCCGCAAGGCUAAAACUCAAAGGAAUUGACGGGGGCCCGCACAAGCGGCGGAGCAUGUGGAUUAAUUCGAUGCAACGCGAAGAACCUUACCUGGGUUUGACAUGCACAGGACGCGUCUAGAGAUAGGCGUUCCCUUGUGGCCUGUGUGCAGGUGGUGCAUGGCUGUCGUCAGCUCGUGUCGUGAGAUGUUGGGUUAAGUCCCGCAACGAGCGCAACCCUUGUCUCAUGUUGCCAGCGGGUAAUGCCGGGGACUCGUGAGAGACUGCCGGGGUCAACUCGGAGGAAGGUGGGGAUGACGUCAAGUCAUCAUGCCCCUUAUGUCCAGGGCUUCACACAUGCUACAAUGGCCGGUACAAAGGGCUGCGAUGCCGUAAGGUUAAGCGAAUCCUUUUAAAGCCGGUCUCAGUUCGGAUUGGGGUCUGCAACUCGACCCCAUGAAGUCGGAGUCGCUAGUAAUCGCAGAUCAGCAACGCUGCGGUGAAUACGUUCCCGGGCCUUGUACACACCGCCCGUCACGUCAUGAAAGUCGGUAACACCCGAAGCCAGUGGCCUAACC
rnacentral:rRNA from 1 species